rnacentral:rRNA from 1 species
UGGCGGAAUGCUUUACACAUGCAAGUCGAACGGCAGCACGGACUUCGGUCUGGUGGCGAGUGGCGAACGGGUGAGUAAUAUAUCGGAACGUAUCCAAUAAUGGGGGAUAACUAAUCGAAAGGUUGGCUAAUACCGCAUACGCCCUACGGGGGAAAGCUAGGGACCUUCGGGCCUGGCGUUAAUGGAGCGGCUGAUAUCUGAUUAGCUAGUAGGUGAGGUAAAGGCUCACCUAGGCGACGAUCAGUAGCUGGUCUGAGAGGACGACCAGCCACACUGGAACUGAGACACGGUCCAGACUCCUACGGGAGGCAGCAGUGGGGAAUUUUGGACAAUGGGCGAAAGCCUGAUCCAGCCAUUCCGCGUGAGUGAAGAAGGCCUUCGGGUUGUAAAGCUCUUUCGCAAGGGAAGAAAACUUAGGCGCUAAUAUCGCUUGAGGUUGACGGUACCUUGAUAAGAAGCACCGGCUAACUACGUGCCAGCAGCCGCGGUAAUACGUAGGGUGCGAGCGUUAAUCGGAAUUACUGGGCGUAAAGCGUGCGCAGGCGGUUUUGUAAGUCAGAUGUGAAAUCCCCGAGCUCAACUUGGGAACUGCGUUUGAAACUAUAAGACUAGAAUAUGUCAGAGGGGGGUAGAAUUCCACGUGUAGCAGUGAAAUGCGUAGAGAUGUGGAGGAAUACCAAUGGCGAAGACAGCCCCCUGGGAUAAUAUUGACGCUCAUGCACGAAAGCGUGGGGAGCAAACAGGAUUAGAUACCCUGGUAGUCCACGCCCUAAACGAUGUCUACUAGUUGUUGGUGGAGUAAAAUCCAUGAGUAACGCAGCUAA